rnacentral:rRNA from 1 species
UACAGAGGUCUCAAGCGUUGUUCGGAUUCAUUGGGCGUAAAGGGUGCGUAGGUGGCGCUGUAAGACAGGUGUGAAAUUUGGGAGCUUAACUCCGAAACUGCAUUUGAUACUGCGGUGCUUGAGGACUGGAGAGGAGACUGGAAUUCACGGUGUAGCAGUGAAAUGCGUAGAGAUCGUGAGGAAGACCAGUGGCGAAGGCGGGUCUCUGGACAGUUCCUGACACUGAGGCACGAAGGCCAGGGGAGCAAACGGG